rnacentral:rRNA from 1 species
GACGAACGCUGGCGGCGUGCCUAAUACAUGCAAGUCGAACGAGCGCGUCCGGUGCUUGCUCUGUUCACUCUAGUGGCGAACGGGUGAGUAACACGUGGGUAACCUCCCCAUCAGAGGGGGAUAACAUCCGGACACGGAUGCUAAAACCGCCUAGUUCUUCGAGCCGCUUGGCUUGAAGAGGUACAGAGACGCAGGCUUCUGCUGAUGGAUGGACCCGCGGUGCAUUAGCAUGUUACGGAGGUAACGGCACCCCCAGGCCGGGAUGGAUAGCCGACCUGAAAGGGUGAUCGGUCACAUUGGUACUGAGACACGGCCCAAACUCCUACGGGAGGCAGCAGAAGGUAAUCUUCCGCAAUGGACGCAAGUCUGACGGAGCAACGCCGCGGGAGUGAAGAAGGUCUUGUGAUCGUAAAACUCUCUUGUUAGGGAAGAAAAAGUGCUGGAGUAACUGCAAGCGGAUUGACGGUAUUUAACCAGAAAGCAACGGCUAACUACGUG